AAGUCGUAACAAGGUUUCCGUAGGUGAACCUGCGGAAGGAUCAUUAACACGUAUCCAAACGUUAAAACAACCCUGUGAAUAUUGAAUCUCAGUUCCCCCAGGGCAGAAAAAUGGGCUUCCUCUAGUAAAUCCAUUGUCUUAACAAGGUUUUGAGUUAGAGGAUGGCGCACGAGUAGCACCUGUAUUACCAAACACUUUCAGAUUGAUGGUUGCUUGGGGGCACCAGGGGUGGAUCUUGGAAACGCUCGACCCGAAUUGUGCAAGGGCAGCGCAGUCAACGAUCGGUGGUCCACACGGCCAUCGACCGGGGGUCGUUACUCCCACGUGGGGCCUUAGUUCAUUCAGGUUGAACAUGAUGCAUGUCUACCGCGCCCGACGAAAGUCCGACGCACCCCUAACCGAACAACUGUUAACAAUGGAUAUCUUGGUUCUC
rnacentral:misc_RNA from 1 species